rnacentral:rRNA from 1 species
UAAAGGAACUGCCUACGCAAGUAGUGAGGAAGGCGGGGAUGACGUCAAAUCAGCACGGCCCUUACGUCCAGGGCGUACACACGUGCUACAAUGGCCGAUACAGAGGGCAGCUACCUGGUGACAGGAUGCAAAUCUCCAAAGUCGGUCUCAGUUCGGAUCGGAGUCUGCAACCCGACUCCGUGAAGUUGGAUUCGCUAGUAAUCGCGCAUCAGCCAUGGCGCGGUGAAUACGUUCCCGGGCCUU